AGCGAACGCUGGCGGCAGGCCUAACACAUGCAAGUCGAACGAACCUUUCGGGGUUAGUGGCGGACGGGUGAGUAACACGUGGGAACGUGCCUUUAGGUUCGGAAUAACUCAGGGAAACUUGUGCUAAUACCGAAUGUGCCCUUCGGGGGAAAGAUUAAUCGCCUUUAGAGCGGCCCGCGUCUGAUUAGCUAGUUGGUUGAGGUAAUGGCUCACCAAGGCGACGAUCAGUAGCUGGUCUGAGAGGAUGAUCAGCCACAUUGGGACUGAGACACGGCCCAAACUCCUACGGGAGGCAGCAGUGGGGAAUCUUGCACAAUGGGCGAAAGCCUGACGCAGCCAUGCCGCGUGAAUGAUGAAGGUCUUAGGAUUGUAAAAUUCUUUCACCGGGGACGAUAAUGACGGUACCCGGAGAAGAAGCCCCGGCUAACUUCGUG
rnacentral:rRNA from 1 species